rnacentral:rRNA from 1 species
ACUAGUUCUCCCUGACCCUUUAAGGGUCCUGAAGGAACGUUGAAGACGACGACGUUGAUAGGCCGGGUGUGUAAGCGCAGCGAUGCGUUGAGCUAACCGGUACUAAUGAACCGUGAGGCUUAACCUUAC